GCUGACAUGAGCAGAAAGUGGCAGUGGCCAGACUUCUUAGGUAUGCCAAACUAGAGUGAAAAUGAGGACCUGCCUGCUCCAAGGUCAAGACAAGACUUAUGCCGAGAAAAGACGUUCUGCCUCUCUGUUGGGGUACCGUUCCAGUCUUCUUUUCCUUUGAAAUGGGGUCGCACUGAAUCACCAGGUUGGCCUUGGGUUUGUAAUCCUCCUGCUGUAGCCUUCUGAGGAACUGAAAAUACAAACCUGCACCCACAGGACCAACCCAUGAGAUCUAAGUUACAGGUGAACAAGGACGGCCAGCCACCCUAAGUAGGACUUGGGACCUCUGGUGGUUUGAAUAGGAGUUGCCAUGGUCAGGGGCUGGAGAGAUUCCUCAGUGGUUAAGAGCACUGGGUUCAAUUCCCAGAACCCACAUGUCAGCUCACCACAGCCUGCAACUCUAUCUCCAGGAAUUCCGACACCUUCAGAAAGAUACAUGUGUAGGCAAAAUGUCAAUGCACAAAUAUAAAUAAAGGUUUAAAAAAAAGAA
ensembl:lncRNA LOC103690858 uncharacterized LOC103690858